rnacentral:tRNA from 1 species
CAGGAAGUAGUUUAAUAAGAAUAUUAAUUUUGGAGAUUAAUGGUGAAGGGAUGUCUUUUUUUCUGA